rnacentral:rRNA from 1 species
GCCUACGGGAGGCAGCAGUGAGGAAUAUUGGUCAAUGGGCGAGAGCCUGAACCAGCCAAGUAGCGUGCAGGAUGACGGCCCUAUGGGUUGUAAACUGCUUUUGUAUGGGGAUAAAGUCAAUCACGUGUGAUUGUUUGCAGGUACCAUACGAAUAAGGACCGGCUAAUUCCGUGCCAGCAGCCGCGGUC